GACCCGCCACAACGGCUUCCUGACGUGGCGGAGUAUUUUUGACUGGAGCA
rfam:Loktanella atrilutea strain DSM 29326 genome assembly, contig: Ga0131175_106